rnacentral:rRNA from 1 species
ACGAACGCUGGCGGCGUGCCUAAUACAUGCAAGUCGAACGGUCUUUCUAUGGAAGCUUGCUUCCACUGAGAAGAUGGUGGCGAACGGGUGAGUAACACGUGGGUAACCUGCCCAUAAGAGGGGGAUAACAUCCGGAAACGGGUGCUAAUACCGCAUAGUUUUCUUGAUUGCAUGAUUGAGAAAGGAAAGACGGCCUUUGUGCUGUCGCUUAUGGAUGGACCCGCGGCGUAUUAGUUAGUUGGUGAGGUAACGGCUCACCAAGACGAUGAUACGUAGCCGACCUGAGAGGGUGAUCGGCCACAUUGGGACUGAGACACGGCCCAAACUCCUACGGGAGGCAGCAGUAGGGAAUCUUCCGCAAUGGACGAAAGUCUGACGGAGCAACGCCGCGUGAGUGAAGAAAAGGUUUUCGGAUCGUAAAACUCUGUUGUCAGAGAAGAACAAGUUGGAGAGUAACUGCUCCAGCCUUGACGGUAUCUGACCAGAAAGCCACGGCUAACUACGUGCCAGCCGCAGC